CUUUGUCCAGUGAGUCAUUUGGUUGAAAAGAACGCCAGCCACCUGUGCCUGCAGCGUCCUCCGCCUCACCCAGCAUGGCAGCCUGUGCCUGCAGCGUCCUCCACCUCACCCAGCAUGGCAGCCUCCCGCCGGCCUCACCUAGAAAUCCACUGUCAGCCUCACUGCCCUUCCUCCCGGAUUCAAGAGGAGAACUUGAGCCUGGAGACUUCAGGAUGCCUCCCCAGUCCCUCCUAUACGGGGACCCAAGGCAGAGGGGUCACUGGGAAUCAACGCAUAGACAGUAAUUUUCCUCCUGCUUGCUUCCCGGUGUCUGGACAUCGUCAGAUGCUUCACCAGAUACGUGGUCAGCCCAUCUACCUCUCUAGAGGUGAGAGGCCCCGAAUACAAAGCUUUGAAGACUGAAAUUCAACAUAUGUCACCUUAUUUAUACUUCUGCCCACCACACCUUUGCUCUGUAGGAAUGCAACUUUAUCUAAUGCUUUUUGGAGGCUGGCGCCUGACUUUAGAAUAAUCACCUUUAGAGAAAAAGGCCUCCGGGCCAGAAGAUGAUGC
ensembl:lncRNA